AUGCUUCCAACACCAAGGCCAAGUCUUUGCAGAAUGUGGAACCAGCACAGGGAAUGGUGGGAAUUUCUAGUUCUUUUUCAUUCUGAAGGUGCCAACGUGCCUGAGCUUAUGUUAACCCUAAAGACAUUGUUGCUGGAAAUGGGAGGCAAUGAAUCAGAACAUCAAGCAAACAUUGAUUGGACGCAUCUAAGGAAGGAGGGUGACCUUCAGAGUGAUGAUCACUGGACAGUGACCAAAUACAGCUCCAGUUUAUCUGAGCCAAUGUCGGGCAUCUGCAGGGAUCAGAGAGUUGGCUAG
rnacentral:lncRNA from 1 species